rnacentral:rRNA from 1 species
UACAGAGGUCUCAAGCGUUGUUCGGAUUCAUUGGGCGUAAAGGGUGUGUAGGCGGCGCGCUAAGUCGGGUGUGAAAUUUCGGAGCUUAACUCCGAAACUGCAUUCGAUACUGCCGUGCUUGAGGACUGGAGAGGAGACUGGAAUUUACGGUGUAGCGGUGAAAUGCGUAGAUAUCGUAAGGAAGACCAGUGGCGAAGGCGGGUCUCUGGACAGUUCCUGACGCUGAGGCACGAAAGCUAGGGGAGCAAACGGG